rnacentral:tRNA from 1 species
CGGGAUAUUUAUAAAAGAGUA